rnacentral:lncRNA from 1 species
AUUCAGAAUAAGCUUUUAUUUAAGGAAAGAAGGAAAAAAGGGAAGGUAUAAUUGGUAGGAAAAAGAGGACAAACUAAAACGAGUCUUUAUACAGCUUUGAGCGUUACAUAACACAAGACUUCACGCUACCAAAAAUUGAAAACUUGGUUAAUUUGUGCCGUUAAUACAGAAUGAAAAAUGAAAAUCUUUCUUCAGGUCUUCCCCUCCCCAACCAUCCCUCUUUAGAGGUAACUGUUGUUAACAACUUGGUAUGUGUCUCUAUCUAAUAUAUAAAUG